UACGUAGGGCGCAAGCGUUGUCCGGAAUUAUUGGGCGUAAAGAGCUCGUAGGCGGCUUGUCACGUCGGGUGUGAAAACCCGGAGCUCAACUCCGGGCCUGCAGUCGAUACGGGCGGACUUGAGUGUUGCAGGGGAGACUGGAAUUCCUGGUGUAGCGGUGAAAUGCGCAGAUAUCAGGAGGAACACCGGUGGCGAAGGCGGGUCUCUGGGCAACUACUGACGCUGAGGAGCGAAAGCGUGGGGAGCGAACAGG
rnacentral:rRNA from 1 species